GAUGAACGCUAGCUACAGGCUUAACACAUGCAAGUCGCGGGACCGGCGCACGGGUGAGUAGCGCGUAUCCAACCUGCCCUUCCCCCCGGGAUAACCCGGCGAAAGUCGGACUAAUACCGUAUGGUGAAGGAUGGGGAGGGGUCCGAGUAGGUUGACGGCGGGGUAACGGCCGACCGUGGCUACGAUCGGGAGGGGUUCUGAGAGGAAGGUCCCCCACACUGGAACGGAGACACGGUCCAGACUCCUACGGGAGGCAGCAGUGAGGAAUAUUGGUCAAUGGGCGUAAGCCUGAACCAGCCAAGUAGCGUGCAGGACGACGGCCUAUGGGUUGUAAACUGCUUUUAUGCGGGGAUAGGUACCGCAUGAAUAAGGACCGGCUAAUUCCGUGCCAGCAGCCGCGGUAAUUC
rnacentral:rRNA from 1 species